AAGCGAAAGCCGAUAAGUCUUCCACCUGGGGGGAGUACGAUUGGCAAGGUUGGAAACUCAAAAGGAAAUUGACGGGGGCCCGCACAAGCGGAGGAGCAUGUGGGUUAAUUCGAUGAUACGCGAGGAACCUUACCUGGACUCAAAUGUUGAGCGACCGGCCUAGAAAUAGGCCUUUCCCUUCGGGGCGCUUAGCAAGGUGCUGCAUGGUUGUCGUCAGCUCGUGCCGUGAGGUGUCAGGUUAAGUCCUAUAACGAGCGCAACCCCUACGCCCAGUUGCCAGCGGGUAAAGCCGGGGACUCUGGGGGAACUGCCUACGCAAGUAGAGAGGAAGGUGGGGAUGACGUCAAAUCAGCACGGCCCUUACGUCCAGGGCGACACACGUGCUACAAUGGCCGGUACAGAGGGCAGCCACCUGGUGACAGGGAGCGAAUCUCGAAAGCCGGUCUCAGUUCGGAUCGGAGUCUGCAACUCGACUCCGUGAAGUUGGAUUCGCUAGUAAUCGCGCAUCAGCCAUGGCGCGGUGAAUACGUUCCCGGGCCUUGUACACACCGCCCGUCAAGCCAUGAAAGUCCGGGGUACCUGAAGUCCGUGACCGCAAGGAGCGGCCUAGGGUAAAACGGGUGAUUGGGGCUAAGUCGUAACAAGGUA
rnacentral:rRNA from 1 species